AUUGCGAAUAAAAAAGUUUCUGAUAAAUUUAACCAUUGCAGUUAUGAUCAUGAAAAUAUCUUAGUUGUCUUAUAUCCAAUGUAACAGGUUAAAUUUUCGAAUUUUUUGUGUCACAGUAAGUGAUAGGCGAGACAGUAAUAUACAAUAAUGGCUAAUGAGGGCUUCAAGUUGUACUUUUUAUUUUAUGCCAUUUUUAUUUUGUGCUAUAUAUAUAUAUAACGAUUGAAGAAAAAAUUGUAAUGCUGCCAUUUAAAGUUAAAUAGAAAGUUGGUUUUGUAAAUUUCCGUAUCAUUUUGCGCAUCUAUCUAAACUGUUUCUUAGUAAGCACCUUCGAGUUAAAAGGAACCUUUAUAGAAAACUAUGUGCAAAUCCAUUCUGCCAUGCGAGAUAUCCUGGUAGAUAAAAGAAUGAAUGGUAUUUGGCAUGUAUAUAGAUUUACCACAUGCCUUUGCAAACACGUUAUAAUCUGGUAUAAAGAGAAAGAACUAGUUGGACAUAAUAGGCCUACUCUUGCUUAAAAAAUAAGCAAUUCAAAAUUAUAAGAAUUUAAAAAUAAAAAUAUAGAAGCACCACAACAUGAGCAGCUAAAACUGAUACUGGACAUUCUGUCAACCUUAUUUAUAUACCAGGAAAAAACAAAAGGAUUAAAACAACACAAUUGACAUAGUCCCAAUUUUUUUUUUAGUUUUAUUACAUAGUUCCUAUUUCCUCCUGGAGAGUUGUCUGUUACAGCAAACAAUGAUUACUUCCUUUCACUCCUCACACAAAGCUGGCAUUGAAUAAUUACAGGAACACAAAUAAAACAUCUUUACAAGCACACUGGCAUACACAUGCAGACUGGUGUAAAUAGGCCUAUAUAUAUAUUUAUAAAUAUAAUAUAUCAAGACAGAUGUUUUGUUUUUUUGGCAUAUAUCCAAAACAGUCAUUCAUUUAUGUUAAUGUAGUUGUCAAACAUCCUAGAGCCACUGACACAGAUCACAUAACUAAGUACUGCAGAGGCAUAUUUAUAGUACACACAUGGAGCUUGAUAUAUAUAUAGAGAGAGAGUUACCAUACAUUUAUGUAUAUACCUAUUCAUCACUAAUAACAUUUACAUAAUGUAAAACAAGGCUAUUAAGGAGCUCCUGUAGGCUAUGGAACACUGGAGUAAUCUAGAACUCGUGCAUUUAAAUUCCUUUGACCUUAGAUUUAUCAUUAACAAUUUCUUGUAUAUAUUUCAUUAAAAUGAAGACUUGUAGAUUGCAGUCAUCUAAAACUCAUGCACUUAAAACUCAUCUUAUCUCAGCUUGUAUGAAUAUAAUCAAACUUAAGACUUCAGCCAUAACAGACUUUCUGAAAACUAAACCCUGUUCCUCUUAUUCCCCAAACUCAAGUGGAAAAACCCAAACUUUAAAAGAAUCUAUAGCAACCAGUCACUGUGACUGUCAGGAUUACAUUUUUGAGAACUACUUGAGACUGGCUCUAUUUCCCUAUAACUGAGUGAUUCUUUGACCUUCUUUCUUCCCAACAUCCACUUUUCCAUAGUUAUGUCAAACUAAACUAAGAUUGCUUCUAAUUCUAGAGUCUAUAUGGUACAGUUGAAUCUAGUAUAUAGAACUACAUCAGAAAGCAAUAACCAGCUAGUCUGAUUAACAGAAUUCACUUGUAUAAGAGGAUUGGUUUCAGUAUUUUAGGUUUUGGUCUGAACAAGUGGCUGGUCCAAUUAACCAGAUUUGACUGCAUAACUAUUUUUGCAGUGACCCUUUUUUUUCUUCACAUUAUCUAAAAAUAUAAAGAAGACAAAAAAAAAGAACUCUAAUAUAGCGUCAUACAUACAUCCAAAACAAACAAGUUUAGAAAUAAAAAACAAAUGCAAGGAAAAAAACAAGAGUCAACAACCUAUUCACUUCUUGCAGUGAUGUCAAACACAGAAAUAACAAAAGGUGUACAGGAGAAGUAACUCUUAUUUACCUACCGGUAUAUAUAUAUUAUAAAUAUAUAUAUCAUAUGGUACAUUUAAAACAUUACUUUGUAAAAGUAAAACAUAAACAGAACUCCCAACAGUCAUACUUAAAUGAGUGAAAAAAAAAUUCAUUGUAAAAAAAACAAAAAAACAGCACAUAGAUACAAAUGAAGGCAUCCUAGACAGUGGCAUCAUUUCAAAUCACAACACUGCUGACAUAUGGCAGAAGUAAAAAAAAACAACAAAUAAAUAAAUAGAAGUUAAAACAUAAUUCAAUGACACAAUGACAGAAGCUCAUCCCAAACAGAAAAAGGUUUUGUUUUUUUUGCUACGUAUACCCCUCCCCCUUUUUUUCUUUGUAGGAUAAUGGUGGCAAAUGUAAAUGCACUUGAAUGCCCCAGGUUCAAAUUGGGAUAUUUCUUUGUUGGAUUUCAGGAGCUACCAUGUCAGUUGAAAAUGUUACACUUGAACAGAAAUACAUUUCAAGAGGGCUCUAAGAAAUAGGCCAACAAUUUCAAGAGGGCUCUAAGAAAUAGGCCAACAACUUCAAGAAGGCUCUAAGAAAUAGGUCAAUAAUUUCAGAGGGCUCUAAGAAAUAGGUCAACAAUUUCAGAGGGCUCUAAGAAAUAGGUCAACCAUUUCAAGAGGGCUCUAAGAAAUAGGUCAACCAUUUCAAGAGGGCUCUAAGAAAUAGGUUAGCUAUUUUAUCUCUUUCCUAUCAACAAGGAUUUCAAAAAUAUAUCAUAUUUUUUUUAUUUACCAUAUUGCCAGGAAUCUCAGUGAUCUGAGUCCUAUCAACAGGGAGCUUGUCCCAAUCCACCUAUCAAUAGGAAGCUCAGCCCUAUAAAGAGAAUUUUUCUAAAAUAAGUCAUAACUUUAUCAAUCAUAUCAACAGUAAUUUUAGAUCUACCAACCUAUUAAUUGGAUUUUUAAACCUAUUUUUAGACUUACUAACCUAGAGAUUUUAAUCUUUUCAAUUUUAAGCCAGGAAAAAUAAAAUAAUAUUCACAUAUAGACAUUUAGCAGUUUAUCAUCAUUCAUCUGACAUAAUAACCUUAGACCUUUGAAACUUAAGCCUUUAACAUGACUCAUGACUAGGUGCAACCAGCUAAACCAGCUGAUAUCAAUAUAUAUUAAUCUUGAUCAAAUGAUAUUAACACUAUUUUAUCUAUAAACACAUUUUGUAUAAAGGAAGUCAAAUGAAUUUAUUUAAAAAAAACAAUCUGGAUGUUAGUAAAACUGAUCAAUCAUGGCCAAUGUUACAUUGAAGUUAAAGCUUACAUGAAUACAUUAUUUGGGUGAAAGUUACACAAGGAAAUAAAGGAGACCAUGUUCUAGCUUUUAAGAUGAAGCAGCAUACUCUGAAUCAAAGUAAAUAGUGAAAAGAUAGAAUAAUGGAUAGAAUAAGGCACAACAAUACUAAUGCAAUCUCAAAUAUGAACAGAAAACUAGUUCAGAGGAUAAAAUCAAUGAAAUGGGAGGCUAUUGCAAAAUUCUAAUUUUGUUUCCAGAAACUUAUUCAUUCUUUAAGAAAAUCUGAAUAAAAUUUGCCUCUUACAUUUUUGGAGACCAACCAUAUAAUGACCAUUUUUACAAACCAUACAUUAAGAAACAAAAGGCACAUAAUAUUGUUUACUAACACUGUAUUGCCUUAUAAACAAAAUGGGAGAAAAGAUGUAGAAACGGGAAGUACUCUAGUAUUUAAAUUACAAACAAAAAACUUUAUGUUGAGCAAUGUAACUAAGUUGACAUUUUUUAAAACCUUAAUGAAGAGCAUUACAAAUAUUGUAUAGUUACAUAAAGCAUGCAAUGAUUGGUUCAGUAUCAGAGGAUGGAAGUACACUGUUAUAACUAAGUAGAUAGAAAUGAACUGCAGCAGUAUUUCCCACUUAUGACUGCAGUUGAUAGCUAAUUAUCUUUAGGUUUCCAUAACCCAUUCUAAAGCUAUAAAUAAUGACUGUAGGCCUCCAUGCCUUAACCACAAUGAAUAUCCUGUUCAUAGGAAGCAAAGAAAAACAAAACAAAACAAUGCAUUUAAAAAUUGAUCCAUUAAAAUGAGAUUGAACAAACUUAUCAAAGGUUUUAUUUUUUCAUGCACAAAAAGCAUCUCAACAAUGUUAUGUUUAUCAAAAAAAAAAUCAACAAAAGAAUAGGUGGAAGCACUAAGAAUAAAACAGUUUUUUUUGUUAUAAGCACAAGUAACAGCUGAUUGGGCUAGAAAUAUAAAUGCAAUAACAAUAUUUAUUUUUCUAUUACAUAAAGAACAUCAAUAAUUUCCUUAGUGAAAUA
rnacentral:sRNA from 1 species